rnacentral:sRNA from 12 species
UUGGGCUAUGGUGGCGGUACCGGAAACGGCCGCAAAGGCUUUAAGCAGCCUUGAGACACCUACGGCCCAUUU